CUAACAAGGAUUCCCCCUAGUAACUGCGAGUGAAGCGGGAAAAGCUCAAAUUUGAAAUCUGGCAGUCUUUUUUUUCUUCUUUGGCUGUCCGAGUUGUAAUCUAGAGAAGUGCUUACCUGCACUGGACCAUGUAUAAGUCUCCUGGAAUGGAGCGUCGCAGAGGGUGAGAAUCCCGUCUUUGACAUGGACUGCCAGUGUGUUGUGGUGUGCUCUCAAAGAGUCGAGUUGUUUGGGAAUGCAGCUCUAAAUGGGUGGUAAACUCCAUCUAAAGCUAAAUAUUGGCGAGAGACCGAUAGUGAACAAGUACCGUGAGGGAAAGAUGAAAAGGACUUUGGAAAGAGAGUUAAACAGUAUGUGAAAUUGUUGAAAGGGAAACGCUUGAAGUCAGUUAUGUUGGCUAGGGAUCAACCUAGCUGUUUUUUGCUGGGUGAACUUCCUAGUCUGACAGGCCAACAUCAGUUUUGACUGCUGGAAAAGAGCAGGGGGAAUGUGGCACCUUUGGGUGUGUUAUAGCCCUUUGUCAUAUGUGGCAGUUGGGACUGAGGGAUGCAGCAUGCCGCGAGGCUGGGUUUCUGACCACGUUCAUGCUUAGGAUGUUGGCUUUUAAUGGCUUCAAUCGACCCGUCUUGAAACACGGACCAAGGAGUCUAACAUGCCUGCGAGUGUUUGGGUGGGGAAAACCCUUGUGCACAAUGAAAGUGAAAGUUGAGAUCCCUGUCAUGGGGAGCAUCGACGCCCGGACCUGAGCUUUUAGCGACGGAUCCGCGGUAGAGCAUGCAUGUUGGGACCCGAAAGAUGGUGAACUAUGCCUGAAUAGGGCAAAGCCAGAGGAAACUCUGGUGGAGGCUCGUAGCGAUUCUGACGUGCAAAUCGAUCGUCAAAUUUGGGUAUAGGGGCGAAAGACUAAUCG
rnacentral:rRNA from 1 species